rnacentral:rRNA from 1 species
UACGUAGGGACCGAGCGUUGUCCGGAAUCAUUGGGCGUAAAGAGCGUGUAGGCGGCCACUUAAGUCCUGCGCGAAAUCUUGCGGCUCAACCGCAAGCGGUCGUGGGAAACUGGGUGGCUAGAGUGCGGGGGAGGAGAGUGGAAUUCCUGGUGUAGCGGUGAAAUGCGCAGAUAUCAGGAGGAACACCGGUGGCGAAGGCGGCGCUCUGGGCCGGAACUGACGCUGAGGAGCGAAAGCGUGGGUAGCAAACAGG